UAGUCGACGACGUAGUUUGAUCAGUGGCUCGAGANACGCUGGCGGCGUGCCUAAUACAUGCAAGUCGAACGGGGUAAGCCUCUUCGGAGACUUACUUAGUGGCGAACGGGUGAGUAACGCGUGAGAAACCUACCUUUCAGUGGGGGACAACAGUUGGAAACGACUGCUAAUACCGCAUGAUGUAGCGAGGGGGCAUCCCUUUGCUACCAAAGCUUUAUGUGCUGAAAGAUGGUCUCGCGUCUGAUUAGCUAGUUGGUGAGGGUAAACGGGCCCCACCAAGGCGACGAUCAGUAGCCGGCUUGAGAGAGUGAACGGCCACAUUGGAACUGAGACACGGUCCAAACUCCUACGGGAGGCAGCAGUGGGGAAUAUUGCACAAUGGGGGAAACCCUGAUGCAGCGACGCCGCGUGAAGGAUGAAGUAUUUCGGUAUGUAAACUUCUAUCAGCAGGGAAGAUAAUGACGGUACCUGACUAAGAAGCCCCGGCUAACUACGUG
rnacentral:rRNA from 1 species